CAUUGGUGAUUGAGUUGGAGAUUUCCAAAUUGGACAAUUCUUAUUGCUUUGCUGAUAUGGAUCCAAUAUGCUUUGUUUUGGCAAAAAGGGUCCUACUUAUUGUACAUUAUUUGUUCUUUUAGACUUGAUAUGUAUAAGUUUAGUUUUGUCAUAUGCUCCUGGCUUGCUUGUUCUAACUGUGGGCACACAUGAGCCGGAAAACUUUACACAUAAGGCUUUACUGAUGUCUUGAAUGAUGUCAUUCAAUAGUGACCUGUUUUAUAUAAUUUGUAUCUCUGCUUUAUAACUACAUUUGAUAUUUGGGGUUAUAUUGCAUGCAGGCAAGCAACCCUGACAAGGUACGAAGUGAAUAUAAAUCAUUCUCAGGGUAAAGUACUGCCUAGUGUAAGAGUUUCAGAUCCAGGCCUUCUACUUAAACCUGACGAACCAAAUUUGAUUAUAAUGGCAAAACCAGCAUGUGGCCCUAGUAAGAGAGAUAAGCCUAUAGGGAUGGAUGAGGACUAAUUUUGUGUGUGACAAUUGACUAUCUUUGCUUGUAUUGUUCUAUGUUAGGGAUCUUUUGUUCCAUUUUAGUAACAAUUUUGUUUAGGAGAAAAAGAAACAUAUUGCAGUUCAUGCUUUGUAAAUGCCACUCUUCUGUUAUGAUGGACACGUGGUAUGCCCUUGUUGGGUAGGUUUGGAUUGAAACCAUGGUCGAGUGCUUGAGCCAUGUUUGGUGAGAAGCUUGAAUGGAUUUUCUUUUCUGUUGUAUUUGGCCCUUGUCUUUUCAAGCAUGCCAAAAAUCAUCCUAGUUUUGUAAUAUGUGGUUUGUGCCCAAUUAAUUUACUGUGGAUCUUGCAUUUU